UCGAGAUAGGGUCUCUCGGGGCCCGACCUCCAACCCUUUGUCUACCUUACCACUGUUGCCUCGGCGGGACGCCGGCGUCUUUACAGGCGUCGCCGUCGGCCUUUUUCGGCUCUCGAGUGCCCGCCGCCGGGCCCCUUUCAAAACCUUUUUUAAAUCAAGUGUUCUGAAUGCAAGUUAAAUACUUCA
rnacentral:misc_RNA from 1 species